UAGACGGGAAGACCCACCACCAAUAAGCUGAUAUACUGUGACAUGUUUACAAAACAGGUGUCAUUUCCUUCAAGAGAACAAGGGCCUCACUAACCAGCCAGGGAGAGACUCCCCGGAACGGCCCUUCUCUAGCAUGUCACCAAUGAUGUGUUGAUGCUUUUUGAGUGAGCUCUCGCCCUUUGGGAUACAACUGUUUAGGGAACUUUUCUGCAAAUCCAACUGAUCCUCCCUGUAAUCAUGAGAACCACAGGAAAUUAGGAGAACGUGCACUCUAGGCAAGAUGGCUUGGGUCUGAAGCCACGGAACUAGGGAGGGCCAUGAUGGUGGCACACAGUGUCCUUGUUGAGCUCCCCUGCCAGGCGCCACCUGGCCUGGAGGAGGGCAUCUUGCCUGUCCUGGGGGCUGAGCCAUCCACACUUCUUGCAUUGGGAUUUUUUUCGUCUUCUUUUAUAAUUACGAAGUGACCAGUAUUCAGUAUUCAAAGAUUAGAUCAACAGUUUUAGUCACUGUCUAAGACAUCUCUCUAGGGUGUGCCACUAUUUUAAAAAAUCAAACCCAAAGCAUCUGUCAAUGAAAAGAAAGCCAAAAAAACGUAGCCUUAAUUCAUUUUAACAUGCAGAGAUGAAAGAAGGAAGGAAGGAUGGAUGGAUGGAAGGGAGGAAGGGAGGGAGGAAGGAAGGAAAAGAGGGUGGUUUUGUACUGCAAACCCAAAUUUCAAAAUGAAAACAAUAGAGAAGGAAGAGGACUCAGACAAAACCUCAGGGGCAGGUGGAGAUUUUGCACUGAAAAGAUCCUUCAUGUUAAUUUCGCAUUUACAAACUGUCUGUUCUCCAAUACGGUGGCCCGUCAUGAAUAUUCAUUGAGUGGAUCCAAGUUUAUUCUCAGCUCCUACAGCUGUGCUGCAGUUUGAGGCUUUGGGCUAUGAGGUCAAGGAGAUCAAACCGGCUGUCCCUCUGUGACCCCUGGCCUUGCCCGACUGUGGGGAACGGGCCUUUGCUCUACUUAGGGACCCUGUCUACCAGAAAGGACACCCCAGAGAUAAGGGAGGCAGCCCCUCUGGUGAAUGCAUCAGGACAACAGCUUCUUGGCUCUGACUGCGGGGAAACCACAGCUGUCACCGCGAGCCCCUGCCAGCACCUCAUCCUUGGCGUCCAUUGUCUGUUGAAUCCUUUAUUCCUCCCACAGGGUCAAAGGAGGAGUCGGCAAGGAGGAGCCGGCCCGGGCUCUUCCUGCGCUCUCCGGAGGCUGUGGGCAGUAGGGACCUGACCUCGCUGGAGCCUUAGGAUGGGCGCCCCUGGCCCUGGGCACAACCUACAGUGUCCAGGGCUUUGGGGGCAGCGCCAGUAGCACAAAUCGGCCCGGGGCUGCGGCUCGGCUGCUGAUCUAGCUCUUGAAGUACCUUCUUGAAUCCGGAACUGAGGCUCCAAGGACAAACUCUGCAGUGGGGGGGGGGGGGGGGGGCCUGGUCCCUUCUUGCCUGACCUUUAGCACAACGGAAGCAAGAGUGGACGCCUGGGUCUCCCGCAGAUCUGACCCCAGGGCAUCCCCCCGGGGGAAGGUCCCUCCCGUGUCCCACUGUCUUGGUGUCGGUGUCGCUGGGCACAGAACUCAACCAAAUCUCAUAAUUUUCAUAACGUGAGCUCUGAAUCUUUAGAGGAGGACGCUCCUGAAGGACUUUUGUUAGAAUGUCCCUUUAAAACGCGUCUAUUUUUCUACAGUUUAACAGUGUAUUUUGUGUCAACUGUUAAAAUUUGGAGGUGAAACAAGUUCGUUAAGUCUGAAUUUUCUAAGCAGCAAGUAGUGAGUGGGGUUUUUCACGACGACGGUUG
rnacentral:lncRNA from 1 species